rnacentral:rRNA from 1 species
GAUGAACGCUGGCGGCGUGCUUAACACAUGCAAGUCGAACGGAAAGGCUCCUGCUUGCAGGGGUACUCGAGUGGCGAACGGGUGAGUAACACGUGGGUGAUCUGCCCUGCACUUCGGGAUAAGCCUGGGAAACUGGGUCUAAUACCGGAUAGGACGAUGGUUUGGAUGCCAUUGUGGAAAGUUUUUUCGGUGUGGGAUUAGCUCGCGGCCUAUCAGCUUGUUGGUGGGGUAAUGGCCUACCAAGGCGUCGACGGGUAGCCGGCCUGAGAGGGUGUACGGCCACAUUGGGACUGAGAUACGGCCCAGACUCCUACGGGAGGCAGCAGUGGGGAAUAUUGCACAAUGGGCGCAAGCCUGAUGCAGCGACGCCGCGUGGGGGAUGACGGCCUUCGGGUUGUAAACUCCUUUCGCUAGGGACGAAGCGCAAGUGACGGUACCUGGAGAAGAAGCACCGGCUAACUACGUG